UGACCAGACUCCUACGGGAGGCAGCAGUGAGGAAUAUUGGUCAAUGGGCGAGAGCCUGAACCAGCCAAGUCGCGUGAGGGAAGACGGUCCUAUGGAUUGUAAACCUCUUUUGCCGGGGAGCAAAAAGCGGUACGCGUACCGCAUCGAGAGUACCCGGAGAAAAAGCAUCGGCUAACUCCGUGCCAGCAGCCGCGGUAAUACGGAGGAUGCGAGCGUUAUCCGGAUUUAUUGGGUUUAAAGGGUGCGCAGGCGGGCUGUUAAGCCGGCGGUAAAAAUUCAGGGCUCAACCCUGUCGAGCCGUCGGAACUGGCAGUCUUGAGUGGGCGAGAAGUAUGCGGAAUGCGUGGUGUAGCGGUGAAAUGCAUAGAUAUCACGCAGAACGCCGAUUGCGAAGGCAGCAUACCGGCGCCCAACUGACGCUGAGGCACGAAAGCGUGGGGAUCGAACAGGAUUAGAUACCCUGGUAC
rnacentral:rRNA from 1 species